rnacentral:rRNA from 1 species
ACAUGCAAGUCGAGCGAAUGGAUUAAGAGCUUGCUCUUAUGAAGUUAGCGGCGGACGGGUGAGUAACACGUGGGUAACCUGCCCAUAAGACUGGGAUAACUCCGGGAAACCGGGGCUAAUACCGGAUAACAUUUUGAACCGCAUGGUUCGAAAUUGAAAGGCGGCUUCGGCUGUCACUUAUGGAUGGACCCGCGUCGCAUUAGCUAGUUGGUGAGGUAACGGCUCACCAAGGCAACGAUGCGUAGCCGACCUGAGAGGGUGAUCGGCCACACUGGGACUGAGACACGGCCCAGACUCCUACGGGAGGCAGCAGUAGGGAAUCUUCCGCAAUGGACGAAAGUCUGACGGAGCAACGCCGCGUGAGUGAUGAAGGCUUUCGGGUCGUAAAACUCUGUUGUUAGGGAAGAACAAGUGCUAGUUGAAUAAGCUGGCACCUUGACGGUACCUAACCAGAAAGCCACGGCUAACUACGUGCCNNCAGCCGCGGUAAUACGUAGGGGGCAAGCGUUAUCCGGAAUUAUUGGGCGUAAAGCGCGCGCAGGGGGUUUCUUAAAUCUGAUGUGAAAGCCCCCGGCUCUACCCUGGAGGGUCAUUGGAAACUGGGAGACUUUUUUUU